rnacentral:lncRNA from 1 species
AACUGAUACUAUAUUAUAUAAAUGAAUGCUUCACUCUCGCUCUCACAUCUAUUUAUAAAAUACUUUUUUUGAAAACUAAUAUAGUUUAAUUAUCUUUAAAGAGCUGUCGCGGUGUUUAAAAAUAAUGUUCAGUUUUUACUAUCCGAUAUAAAUCUCACACUGUCGCGCUAUUAAUUUAUACCUUAGUUAAUUUUCACUCUCGUGCAAAAUCUUUAAUUUAAU